rnacentral:misc_RNA from 1 species
GGUGGAGGUUGUUAUGACUUUUAGCCAUGCAAUCACUGGAUUGAUAAUGGCUAAUUAUAUAAAUUAAAUUUAAUAUUACGUUCAUUAUUAUUACAGUUUUACUCCUCUUGCUUUUCUUGGCUCCUCGUUCGAUUUCUCCUGCAUUGCGUUCAUUCGUUUUUUCAAGAGAUAAAAAGAGAAAGGGGAAAAGUACCAGAUUUUGUAUUGAAAACCCAAACAAUAGCAUAAAUGGGUCGUGGAGUUAGCGCUGGUGGCGGACAGAGUUCAUUGGGAUACCUAUUUGGCGAUGGAGAGACUACUAACAGCGAAUCGGCUGCUAAAACUGUGGGACAAACUGCAAACAAUAGCCUUUC